rnacentral:rRNA from 1 species
GACGAACGCUGGCGGCGCGCUUAACAUAUGCAAGUCGAGCGAGAACCAGUCCUUCGGGGCUGGGGACAGCGGCGAACGGGUGAGUAACACGUGGGUAAUCUGCCCUCGGCACCGGAAUAGCCCGGGGAAACCCGGAUUAAUGCCGGAUGGCCUCUCUGCCCCUCGGGGCGGCGAGAAAAGGUAGCUUCGGCCUCCGGCCGAGGAUGAGCCCGCGGCCGAUUAGCUUGUUGGUGAGGUAACGGCUCACCAAGGCGACGAUCGGUAGCUGGUCUGAGAGGACGAUCAGCCACACUGGGACUGAGACACGGCCCAGACUCCUACGGGAGGCAGCAGUGGGGAAUCUUGCGCAAUGGGCGAAAGCCUGACGCAGCGACGCCGCGUGCGGGAAGAAGGCCUUCGGGUUGUAAACCGCUUUCAGGAGGGACGAAGCCACUCGGGUUAAUAGCCCAGAGGGUGACGGUACCUCCAGAAGAAGCCCCGGCUAACUACGUGCCAGCCGCCGCUGUAA